GAAAUUCUGCAGAAGGUAUCAGGGGUUAUAAAAAAGUCUAUGCAAGGAGCUUAGGAAGUAGGGAAGUCUGCGACAAUAGAUAAUGGACUUGGGAUGCAUACUAUGUCAGAUAGUACACAAAGGAAAGGAAUCGCUGCAGUUCAAGGGUCUCAAACUAAGUUGCUACUGGAUUUUUUGAGCUUCUCUGCUUCUAGCUUUUCAUCUAUGGCCAGAUACUCAGUUGUGACUGAUAAGGUCUCAAUGGAGGUUGUUGAAGAAUUCAUUCUAGAACAGUUGAAUCUAACAAAAGGCACAAUAUCUGAAAUUAAGCACAUUCAUUUGACAGGAUAAUUUGGAAACCCUGUUGCAAGAGGACAUUCAGGCUGAUCUAGUCUGUUGCUUGCAGCAUUUGCAGUUAAGAUUUGAAACUGAAGACAAAGCAAGGAGACUUCUAAGUAAUGUGUCAUUUUUGUUGAAACCAGGGGGUUAUUUUUUUGGUAUUACUCCUGAAAAAGUGAUUGCCAAAAACUGUUGUUUCUGGAUUUGUGUAUUUUCCUCCUUUUUUUCUUGUGGUUACUGCUGCACCUGUUUUUGAGAGGUGAUUGUGUAAACAUUUUAGUGUGCUUUAGUUAUUGUAAGAAUAUUUUUAACAUUGUUAAUUUUAAUAUUAUUAUAAGAAUAUUUUAAAUUAUAA